AUGAGUCGACCUGAUGGGAUCAACAUCCCCGACGGCAAGUUCUACCUUGGAGAUGCUGGCUAUGCAUGUCGGCCGGGUAUUCUUCCACCCUUCAGGAAAACAAGGUACCAUCUCAACGAGUUCUUUGGUAGGAACUAUCCUAGGACUGCACAGGAGCUGUUUAAUCUCAGACACUCCAGCCUUAGAGUAACUGUUGAGAGGGCAUUUGAAGCUCUGAAGAAUAGGUUUAAGAUCCUGGAUCAGAAGCCAUUCCACCCAUACUCCACUCAGGUUAAGCUAGUUCUUGCUUGUUGCAUUCUGCAUAACUGGAUCCUCCAGUGGGGCUUUGAUGAACACGUGCCUGAGGAGGAAGAUGUCGAGCCUGACGAUGUUGUUAGCUCCGGCCAUGGUGUGGAGGCAUUUGACAAUGACGCUUGGAAGAACAAAAGGUUGGAGUGGGCAGAGGCGAUGUGGCUUAACAGAGGUCAGUGCAGGAUUUGA
rnacentral:rRNA from 1 species